rnacentral:lncRNA from 1 species
GUACUGCUCGAACAACGGCUCCAGGUUCUGCCUCACAGUCUUGGUGCCCUGCUCCUGCAGCAGGGUCCACUUGGUGUCCUCCACCAGGUCCUGCAUGUUUCUCAGCUCUGAGUCCAGGCGGCCCCGUUCCCCCACGAUGCUGUCCAGCUGCCUCCUGAGGUUGUUGAUGUACUGCUCGAACAACGGCUCCAGGAGGGCAGACAGGAAAGCCAGGGCCACCGAAGCCACCUCCAAAGCCAGCUCCGCCACCGAGCCCAAAGCCACCAC